rnacentral:rRNA from 1 species
AUUGAACGCUAGCGGCAUGCCUUACACAUGCAAGUCGAACGAGUGGCGAACGGGUGAGUAAUGUAUCGGAACGUGCCCAGUAGCGGGGGAUAACUAAGCGAAAGCGUAGCUAAUACCGCAUACUCUUUGAGCGGCCGAUAUCGGAUGAGCUAGUUGGUGGGGUAACGGCUCACAAAGGCGACGAUCCCUAGCUGGUCUGAGAGGAUGACCAGCCACACUGGAACUGAGACACGGUCCAGACUCCUACGGGAGGCAGCAGUGGGGAAUAUUGCACAAUGGGCGCAAGCCUGAUGCAGCCAUGCCGCGUGUAUGAAGAAGGCCUUCGGGUUGUAAAGUACUUUCAGCGGGGAGGCGUUACCCGCAGAAGAAGCACCGGCUAACUCCGUGCCAGCAGCCGCGGUAAUAC